rnacentral:rRNA from 1 species
UACAGAGGGUGCGAGCGUUGUUCGGAAUUAUUGGGCGUAAAGGGCGCGUAGGCGGUGCGGUAAGUCACCUGUGAAAUCUCCUGGCUCAACUGGGAGCUUGCAGGCGAAACUGCCGUGCUGGAGUGUGGGAGAGGUGAGUGGAAUUCCCGGUGUAGCGGUGAAAUGCGUAGAUAUCAGGAGGAACACCUGUGGUGUAGACGGCUUUCUGGACCAUAGCUGACGCUGAGACACGAAAGCGUGGGUAGCAAACAGG